rnacentral:rRNA from 1 species
UACAGAGGUCUCAAGCGUUGUUCGGAUUCAUUGGGCGUAAAGGGUGCGUAGGCGGCGCGGUAAGUCGGGUGUGAAAUCUUGGAGCUUAACUCCGAAACUGCAUUCGAUACUGCCGUGCUUGAGGACUGGAGAGGAGACUGGAAUUUACGGUGUAGCGGUGAAAUGCGUAGAUUUCGAGAAGAACGCUCGCAGCGAAAAGCGAAGCUCUGGUCAGGUUCUGACGCUGAGGCACGAAGGCUAGGGGGAGCAAAACGGG